UCCCUCAUAGCUUAGUCGAUAAAGAAUCUGUCUGCAAUGCAGGAGACCCAGGUUCAAUUCCAGGGUUGGGAA
rnacentral:tRNA from 1 species